CUGACAAUAACGGAUAACUGUUAACCCACAGACUCGGCGUCUACGUUUCGGACGGGGAUGCAUGGUAGGGUAGCAUUUUGGUUCGACUCCCCACAAAGGCACAGUGUGUGAAGCCUAUUUCCGGUGUCCCCAACUUGAUAUUUCUAAAAGCGGCGUAAAUCCAUACUCACUCACUUAUUCACUACACUACGGAUGUGUUUUUGCGUUACCAUAUCGCUUCCGUAAAAGUGACUAUGACGCUUGCAUUUACAUGUAUGUGUUUAGUUCUUUAACGCCACGCACUCAACGAAAUUCUGGAGGCUAAGGGGCGGCAGUGUCGCCAGAAACGUGAUUGCUUGGAAGCUACUGAAAAGGUGAAGAACUAUUUAUCAGGUUCGUGGCCAAAUACGGAACAUUUUGGUCCCUCACUUUACGAAACAAAGACGGUUUUCGGGGUUGCCUUCUGUAGAGGAAUCCACAGAACGGGAAAUACAAACCAAGUGGACAAGCUGUUAGGGAGCGUGACUAUGGGUAUAGGUAGUGAAAAGCUUCGAACAUGUCUUGCUCUCGGUCCAACCGCUUCCCGCUUGUCAGUCGUCACCACUCGCCCCUUUCCGUAUAACCUCUGUCCCGGAAUAACACGAGUUGGUCACGAAUGUCUCUUGCCUGUUUCUUUUGACAACAACGCGUGCGCGACUAUUUAUUUUUAUAAUAGUCGAACUUAGGUACUUUCAACGAAAUCAUUCAUAAUUGGACAAUCAAGCAUAGUCAUACUUCACAACAA